GACGAACGCUGGCCGCGUGCUUAACACAUGCAAGUCGAACGGAAAGGCCCUGCUUUUGUGGGGUGCUCGAGUGGCGAACGGGUGAGUAACACGUGAGUAACCUGCCCUUGACUUUGGGAUAACUUCAGGAAACUGGGGCUAAUACCGGAUAGGAGCUCCUGCUGCAUGGUGGGGGUUGGAAAGUUUCGGCGGUUGGGGAUGGACUCGCGGCUUAUCAGCUUGUUGGUGGGGUAGUGGCUUACCAAGGCUUUGACGGGUAGCCGGCCUGAGAGGGUGACCGGCCACAUUGGGACUGCGAUACGGCCCAGACUGCUACGGGAGGCAGCAGUGGGGAAUAUUGCGCAAUGGGCGGAAGCCUGAUGCAGCAACGCCGCGUGCGGGAUGACGGCCUUCGGGUUGUAAACCGCUUUCGCCUGUGACGAAGCGUGAGUGACGGUAAUGGGUAAAGAAGCACCGGCUAACUACGUG
rnacentral:rRNA from 1 species